UACGUAGGGCGCAAGCGUUGUCCGGAAUUAUUGGGCGUAAAGAGCUCGUAGGUGGUUUGUCGCGUCUGUCGUGAAAGCCCAUGGCUUAACUGUGGGCUUGCGGUCGAUACGGGCAUCACUGGAGUUCGGCAGGGGAGACUGGAAUCCUGGUGUAGCGGUGAAAUGCGCAGAUAUCAGGAAGAACAUCGGUGGCGAAGGCGCUCUGCUGGACCUA
rnacentral:rRNA from 1 species